AUGACGCACUUCCGGCACGGGAAGUUUUCGGUUGCUUGACGGAGGGAGUUGUAGGUGCAAAGCUGAGGAAAGAAGGAAGUGUGAGAGAGGGGCUUGAUGUGAUAAGGGCCGGCGUUUGGGACCGGAGGGUGUUGAGGGCUGAUGAGUUCCUUGGGUUUGCUCUUUUUUCACUUGAAGACUCCAGGAAGGGCAUCACAUGUCGGAGAAAGAUGAAUUCCAGCUUGACCGUCCAGAGGCGCGGCAGUGACGCCGAGUUGGGACCCUGGGUGAUGGCUGCGAGGUCCAAGGACGCGGCGCUGUCCCAACGCGACGGACUUUUGCCCGUGAAAGUGGAGGAAGACUCACCCGGAAGUUGGGAGCCCAGCUAUCCCGCGGCUUGGCCUGACCCCGAAACUUCUCGACUGCACUUUAGGCAGCUGCGUUACCAGGAGGUGGCUGGACCGGAAGAGGCGCUGAGCCGGCUCCGAGAACUCUGUCGUCGGUGGCUGAGGCCCGAGCUGCUCUCCAAGGAGCAGAUCCUGGAGCUGCUGGUGCUGGAGCAGUUCCUCACCAUCCUGCCCGAGGAGCUCCAAGCCUGGGUGCGAGAGCACUGCCCAGAGAGCGGGGAGGAGGCGGUGGCCGUGGUGCGGGCUCUGCAGCGAGCGCUCGAUGGAACCUCACCCCAGGGGAUGGUGACUUUCGAGGACAUGGCUGUGUCUCUAACCUGGGAGGAGUGGGAGCGCCUGGACCCAGCACGGAGGGACUUCUGCAGAGAGAGUGCGCAGAAGGAUUCCGGGAGCACAGUUCCGCCGAGUCCUGUGAAAAUGAAGGGAAGAGGGUGUCUGCUCAGUUCCACUAGGGGCUCCCACCAUCACGGUCAGGCGACCACUGUCUCUCUGAUGCAGAUAAGGGACUAAGGGCUUGCACAGACACUCAGAACACAGACAAAGCCCAAUCUUCAAGCCGUGUCCUACCCAGCAAGACCAUGUUCCUGUAGUUCUCCAACAUCACAUCUCGGUAGAGGUCCUUCUGACCCCAGCUGAGGUGGCCCCACUCCUCUCUGGUGAAGUACAUCGCCACAUCCUCAAACGAGAGCAGCUCCUGGAAAAGUAGCUGAUAAAGGUAAGAGUUGAUCUCUCAGCACAGAAAACAGCACCUGGAGUGUACAGCAGUAGGUGCACAAUAAUGCUCACAGACAGAAACAAUGGGCAACUACUACAGUAAUAAGAGCAACAACUUAACACAGUGCUAAACGAGUAACCAGAUACUGCACAAAGGACUUCACAGGGUGUUUUUCAUUGAAUCUUCACAACUCGCUGUGAUAGGCACUCUCACUGACCCAUUUUACAGAAAAGAAAACUGGACCCGGAGUGUUUAUGUAACUUGCUGAGGGAGCCCAUGUGACUCCAGAGGCUAAGCUCUCUACAUCGCACUGUCUAAGAAGGAAAACUCCCCACAUUGAUCAAGAGGGCUCAGUCUGAGGAAGGAGCUGCUGGUGGCAGUGACUAUGCUGACGAAGCAGAGGGGGAGGCACAGCUCACCUUCCCCCUGGCUGGUGGGAACAUGGCUUCCACGGCCUGGUCUUUUGCAAGGGGUGGGAUCCUGGGCGUCGGGCUGAGCUGGAGAAGAAAAAAAGUUAGUCAGUAAGGCCAGCCCUAAUUUGAAGCUCUCUUGGUUGGCAGAUCUGGGACCAGGAAUUCCAACGGGGCCCACAGACAAAGCUUAAUACAAAGUCCCUGUGUUUGGUGUUGGAACAUGUGAUGAAAUGCAUGAGCCGCUACAGUAAGUCUAGGAAUUUCAAUUUCCCAAGCUCUAUCCAAGAGAACCUGCAGCCCUGCCCUCCCCUUCUCCCUAGAACAUGUCAUCCUCAGCACCUCAUAUACAAAGGGACAGCAGAUAGACCACAUAUAAACAUAGCACUCUGGCCAGGCACGGUGGCUCACGCCUAUAAUCCCAGCACUUUGGGAGGUUGAGGCGGGUGGAUCACGAGGUCAGAAGAUGGAGACCAUGCUGGCCAACAUGGUGAAAGUCCUUCUCUACUAAAAUACAAAAAAUUACCUGGGCGAGGUGGCAUGCGCCUGUAGUCCCAGCUACUUGGGAGGCUGAGGCAGGAGAAUCGCUUGAACCUGGGAGGUGGAGGUUGCAGUGAACUGAGAUUGUACCACUGUACUCCAGCCUGGUGACAGAGCAAGACUCCAUCUCAAAAAAAAAAAAAAAAAAAAAGAAAAAUAGCACUCUGAUCCACACCCUGCAGCAACCAGCUCUGGAAGCCAAACCAUAGCCUCUGAGGCAUGAGCCCCAAAUCGGGACUUGAUCAAUAACAGCUUUAUCCAAAAUUUUGCUCCCCACUCCCUUUAAUUUAGGACCAACAGGGGAAAGCCAAAUACUCCCCUCCCCUAUCACACAGGAUGUCCGAGUCUAGUUAUCCUAGGGAUUCUAGUUCACCAGCUUUUCUUUCUCUAAAUCUACUUACGUUAUUUCCAACCCUGGUCCUACAGCCAGCUUCACCUGCUGACAAGCCCCCUCCGAAAGUGUUCUGAAGGGGUCACUCAACCCUCACCUCUAGCCUGGUGAUUUGCUAGCAGGAUUCAGCAACAGUAACAAUUACAGACUUGCUUUUUUUUUUUUUUUUUAAACAGAGUUUCACUCUUGUGCAGGCUGGAGUACAAUGGUGUGAUUUCUGCUCACUGCAACCUCCGCCUCCCGGGUUCAAGCGAUUCUCCUGCCUCAGCCUCUGGAAGUAGCUGGGAUUACAGGCGCCCGCCGCCAUGCCCAGCUACUUUUUUUGUAUUUUUAGUUGAGAUGGGGUUUCACCAUGUUGGUCACGCUGGUCUUGAACUCCUGACCUCAGGUUAUCCAUCCACCUCAGCCUCCCAAAGUGCUGGGAUUACAGGCGUGAGCCACUGCGCCCAGCCUACAGACUUGCUUUCUAACUCAGGAUGAAUUUUAAUGAAAUUCACUUUCAUUUUAAUGGAUGCCCCUCAAACACAGUUCACCUUCCCUGAAAACAGUUUAGAAGACCCUUUGCCUUUUUUUUUUUUUUUUUUGAGGAGUCUCCCUCUAUCACCCAGGCUGGAGUGCAGUGGUGUAAUCAUGGCUCACUGUAGCUUCCAACUCCUGGGCUUAAGCAAUGCUCCUGCCUCAGUCUCCUAAGUAGAUGGGACUGCAAGAGUGCACCACCAUGCCCAGCUGUUUGUAGUUUUUUUGUAGGUGGGGCCUUGCUAUGUUGCCCAGGGUGGACCCUCUGCCUUUUAAGCAAAGAGGUACACUCUAAAAACUAUCCUGAUCAAUGGCUCCAAGGCUGGAGCAAAGGCUUCAUCCCUUUCAUUCUCUACACCAAACUUGUCCAAACCUCAGCCUGUGGGCCGCAUAUGGCCCAGGACAACUUUGAAUCCAACCCAACACAAAUUCGUAAACUUUCUUAAAACCUUAUGAGAUUGUUUUGCGAUUUUUUUUUUAGCUCAUCAGCUAUUUUUAGUGUUUGUGUAUUUUAUGUGUAGUCCAAGACAAUUCUUCUCCCAAUGUGGCCCAGGGAAGCCAAGAGAUUGGAUACCCCUGCACUACGUUUACUGACUAUGUUUGUGAAGGCUGUGCAUCUGAAUGUCAGACUUGCUAAUGAAAAAUUAAAUGGAGACCAUGUUUUGGGUACGGCCCUAGGCCAACCACCCACAGCCACGUAAGGCAUUUAAAAUACACUGAUUGCUCCCUUGAGUUCAGGAGUUGGAGACUGCAGUGAGCUAUGAUGGCACCACUACACUCCACCCUGGGUAACAGAGCAAGACCCUGUCUCUCUUAAAAACAACAGGCCGGGCGCGGUGGCUUAUGCCUGUAAAUCCCAGCACUUUGGGAGGCCGAGGCGGGUGGAUCACGAGGUCAGGAGUUCAAGACCAGCUUGGCCAACAUAGUGAAAUCCAGUCUCUACUAAAAAUACAAAAAUUAGCCAGGCAUGGCGGCGCGUGCCUGUAGUCCCAGCUACUCGGGAGGCUGAGGCAGGAGAAUCGCUUGAACCCGGGAGUUGGAGGUUGCAGUGAGUCGAGAUUGGGCCAUUGUACUCCAGACUGGGCAACAGUAACACUUCGUCUCAAACACAACAGCAACAACAAUUCUUUAUUUCCCUGCGAAGUGUGCGCUGACCAGGAAGGAAGCUUUUUUCUCGUCUGCAUGAUAAACUGAACCAAUCAGCUACAGAUGCAAGGCUGAUCCAGCUCGACUUACCCUAGAAGGAAUGCAAGUUGAUAAUGGCCAAUUACAAUCAAGAUCACUGCACUUCCUCAUUUAGCUUUCCAAGCUGCCAUUGGAACAAUUUGCCAGCUGUUCCUCUGCAUGCACAAUAAACUCUUAAAACUUUAA